rnacentral:rRNA from 1 species
AACGAACGCUGGCGGCAUGCCUAACACAUGCAAGUCGAACGAGACCUUCGGGUCUAGUGGCGCACGGGUGCGUAACGCGUGGGAACCUGCCCUUAGGUUCGGAAUAACUCCCCGAAAGGGGUGCUAAUACCGGAUAAUGUCUUCGGACCAAAGAUUUAUCGCCUUUGGAUGGGCCCGCGUUGGAUUAGCUAGUUGGUAGGGUAAAAGCCUACCAAGGCGACGAUCCAUAACUGGUCUGAGAGGAUGAUCAGCCACACUGGGACUGAGACACGGCCCAGACUCCUACGGGAGGCAGCAGUGGGGAAUAUUGGACAAUGGGCGAAAGCCUGAUCCAGCAAUGCCGCGUGAGUGAUGAAGGCCUUAGGGUUGUAAAGCUCUUUUACCCGGGAUGAUAAUGACAGUACCGGGAGAAUAAGCUCCGGCUAACUCCGU